rnacentral:rRNA from 1 species
CGGGGUGCACCAGGCGCGAAAACUUUACAAUGCGGGAAACCGUGAUAAGGGGACACCGAGUGCCAGCAUCAUAUGCUGGCUGUCCAGGUGUGUAAAAUACACCUGUCAGCAAGGGCCGGGCAAGACCGGUGCCAGCCGCCGCGGUAACACCGGCGGCCCGAGUGGUGAUCGUGAUUAUUGGGUCUAAAGGGUCCGUAGCCGGUUUGGUCAGUCCUCCGGGAAAUCUGACGGCUCAACCGUUAGGCUUUCGGGGGAUACUGCCAGGCUUGGAACCGGGAGAGGUAAGAGGUACUACAGGGGUAGGAGUGAAAUCUUGUAAUCCCUGUGAGACCACCUGUGGCGAAGGCGUCUUACCAGAACGGGUUCGACGGUGAGGGACGAAAGCUGGGGGCACGAACCGGAUUAGAUACCCGGGUAGUCCCAGCCGUAAACGAUGCUCGCUAGGUGUCAGGCAUGGCGCGACCGUGUCUGGUGCCGCAGGGAAGCCGUGAAGCGAGCCACCUGGGAAGUACGGCCGCAAGGCUGAAACUUAAAGGAAUUGGCGGGGGAGCACAAGGGCGAUUGCGG